rnacentral:misc_RNA from 1 species
CCCAAAUAAAAAAAAAAUCACAUCCAAAAUAUGAGAUGGCACUCCCAAUCUUCUUUUUCUCAAAUAUUUUACAACAAAUAUUGAAUCAUCACCUCCUAUGGAUCUGCAAUUAAAAAAAUUAAAAAAAAGAUAUUAAAUUCAAAGAAAAAGAGAAGAAGAAUUCCCACUGGAUCUGCAAUGAUUGUUCUUCUACUCAAAUCCAAGUCCUAGGUCUAGAAUAGCCAAAAAUAAGAAUCUGCUGCUUACACCACCCAGUCAUGGAUGGAGCAAGUUAGUACUUGGACAUUACCUGCACAGAUUGAAAACAAAAAGUUUUCCUCUAUUAAGCCUUCAGCAGAAAGCCAGCGAUUGAGCACCUGCACUCUAAGUUACCUUUAGCCUGAAGAAAAGGAAGCCAUCAUCUUUGUCUUACCAAACACAAAAUAUGAACACUUCAAUGCUUAAUAGGACUGAGGUAUCAAAGCCUAGUUAUGACCAAAGAAAAAAAAAAAGCCAUCCAAGACAGUAAUAAAAACUGAAAUUCGGCUAUCAAAACUACUUGUAAUGUUAGCAGUUCUGAAAAGUAGAACCUUUGAACAAAAAUCUAUUAACUUAAACCAUCAAAAAUAGUUCUCUAAGACAAUAAUGAAAAUUAAGUUAGCAAUGUUCACCAAUAAGGGACUCAAUUAGAAAACAUCACCAAAUGAAAAAUGGAAAUCCAUAGGUUUAUUGACAAUGCGUGCUAUAUAUUUCCUAAUCCAGAAUCACAGAUUUAUCAUCAAAACCAAAU